UACGUAGGGUGCAAGCGUUAUCCGGAAUUAUUGGGCGUAAAGAGCUCGUAGGCGGUUUGUCGCGUCUGCUGUGAAAACCCGAGGCUCAACCUCGGGCCUGCAGUGGGUACGGGCAGACUAGAGUGCGGUAGGGGAGAUUGGAAUUCCUGGUGUAGCGGUGGAAUGCGCAGAUAUCAGGAGGAACACCGGUGGCGAAGGCGCCACUCUGGGCCGAAACUGACGCUGAGGAGCGAAAGCCAGGGGAGCAAACGGG
rnacentral:rRNA from 1 species